UACGUAGGGGGCAAGCGUUGUCCGGAAUCAUUGGGCGUAAAGAGCGUGUAGGCGGCCCGGUAAGUCCGCUGUGAAAGUCCAGGGCUCAACCCUGGAAUGCCGGUGGAAACUGUCGGGCUAGAGUCCGGAAGAGGCGAGUGGAAUUCCUGGUGUAGCGGUGAAAUGCGCAGAUAUCAGGAGGAACACCAAUGGCGAAGGCAGCUCGCUGGGACGGUACUGACGCUGAGACGCGAAAGCGUGGGGAGCAAGCAGG
rnacentral:rRNA from 1 species